rnacentral:rRNA from 1 species
CCUACGGGUGGCAGCAGUGGGGGAUAUUGCACAAUGGGGGAAACCCUGAUGCAGCGACGCCGCGUGUGGGAAGACGGUCCUCUGGAUUGUAAACCACUGUCCCCAGGGACGAAGAUGACGGUACCUGGGGAGGAAGCUCCGGCUAACGACGUGCCAGCAGCCGCGGUAAUACGUAGGGAGCGAGCGUUGUCCGGAAUUACUGGGUGUAAGGGGGGCGUGGGCGGGACUGCAAGUUGGGUGUCAAAUCUACCGGCUCAACCGGUAGCCGCACUUAAAACUGCAGUUCUUGAGUGAAGUAGAGGCAGGCGGAAUUCCUAGUGUAGCGGUGAAAUGCGUAGAUAUUAGGAGGAACACCAGUGGCGAAGGCGGCCUGCUGGGCUUUUACUGACGCUGAGGCUCGAAAGUGUGGGGAGCAAACAGGAUUAGAUACCCCUGUAGUC